CCCGGGUGUAAAUUUUAACCUUUAUUUCCUCCUCCGAUUUUCCAGUCUUUUAACAUUUUUAUAUCUCAAACUCCGCGAUGCUUUUAAUAGAAUGAUUGGCGAUUCUCGCGAGACUAUUAAUUAGCCAAUUGCGGUUGAGUAUUGGGGUCACGUGUACCGCUGCAGUGUUACCUGCUAGGUAUAUUAGCUGGAGCGGGGAGGCACGAAGGUUAGAACACGUUGGCAGGAGCAGAGCUGCAGGAGCCAACUGGUGUGAGCCAGAAGGGAGAUGGAAAAAAAAUAAACCCCGGUAGGGUGAGAUAAAACGGCGGAACUGGCCAGGUUGAUGGCGAGCUAGAAGAUCGGGCAUAGAGCCAAAGAAAGAGUUCACUCUUUUUAGGGUGAUCGAAGACUUCAGUUUCCUACCCGGAUUUGAGCCAAGCAAAGCAUAAUUAUCUUGUUGAGAGCCCUAAUUGAUCCCAAUUUGGGAUGAAUGGACUAACAGGUGUGGACUCUCAAUUGUGAAACUCUGGGAACAACUGAUUGCUUUAGUUUCCUUUGUUGUUGUGUUCUUUAUUUAUUUUUUCUUUUGUUUGUUAAUGGCCAUUUGGAUGUUCCCAAUAAUAUUGUAAAUAUGUAUAUAUAUUAUUCACAUUGCAAAUAUAAACCAACUUGCAACUGCAAUUUCCAGCCUAUCUGCUCUUUUUGAGUCGCACUUACUUAUCUUCUGAAGGAAAAAAAAACUAGCCAUUUACCUUAUUGGUCAAAAUCCAAUUAUAUUGAAUAGCAAUAUAGAAUAUUGUUGUUCUUAUAAAUAU